GACACUCAACGGUCGUUUCCCUCCCAGUGGUGGAUGUAGCUUUGUGUCGCCGGCUCGUUUUAUUAUUUCCUCGCUUUCGAUCGCGACCAAAACCCCUGAAACUAGUCAAGGAUUAUAGUUGGUGCAUUCCUACUUGCGUGUUACUGCCGCAAAGGCCGGUAACACGGAAGCGGUUCUUCGAAGCAGCGAAGCGGCGGUACUGCGGUGAUUCUGGUAAACCUAAAAUGGCGGUCCUUCGUUUAUGCCGCCGUUGCCGGCCCCAGCCAUGCUCACGUUUUCACAAUCUCGUUGUGUGGCCGGCGGAGCAUAAAACAUGCAAGGCACUGCACAGAGUACUUCUCCCGGCAAAGUGUGCUGCGCUGGAAGUCGACGGUAGACACCAGAAGAUGCAGCAAAUCAAUUGUGUGACCCCACAACAGAUUGCCGACGAAGAAUUCCUGAGCACCACUAGCCAUUAGCUCCAGUUUGCAAGAAAGAAGGAAACGCCAGUCCCUACUACCAAACGAAGCCAGAAACAGCCAAGAAACCUGAGUGGGGACCUCAGUUUCAACAAGGAAGCACGAAUCGAAAGGGGAUCUUAAAUAAACUUUGCAUCAGAAGCUCCAAAAAAAAAAAAAGAAGAAAAACAAGGGCAGCCUUACGGCAUGUAAACCCCUAGCGUAGCUACACGUAUGCAUUGAUGAAGAAACACAAGCAAGCCAAAGCACGCACUCGAUGUAAACCUGAGCAGCAGCUCAGCGUAGGUCCAACUCUUAUCGCCGACGCCUUGGGAAGAGCAUCGUCUUCGGUGCUUCCAGCUGAAGCAAGUUGCAUCGGUGCUGUCGAGUAGUUCGCUUCGUGUUGGUGCGGAAAAUGUAUCUGAAAGAGUGCGCAAUGUAAUGUGUACAAGAGGUGCGUGGACCCGUGUUUGGGUUAUUACGCCUGAAUGUGCACAUUACAACGUGGUCGAUGUGUUUGUGCUAGGGAGUGGCAGCAUUAGCUGUGUGUGUGUGUGCAGGAGUGCUCCUGGAGGUUGCGCGUUAUGUGCGGUCAGCAAGGCGACACUUCUCGCCCGGAUUACUUCGUUGUGUCCCUCCUGUGCUCUGCGGGUGUGGCUGCGGUGAAUUCCGCAUGGUGGAUUCGUGAUCUGUGGAAAGCACUCAACGCUGCAAAUUGUGGUGGUGUGCCGUGUGUGUGGUGUGCUUACGGGCUUUCGUCGAAAGGCAGUCCUGCAUCCGGAAUAUUGUGGGGAGGUGCCUACGCCUAGCCAUGUGCAUACAUAGCUAUGUGCAGGUGUGCAUCAUCACCGACGGUGCUUCCAUGUCCUCGUAUGCAUCGGAUGAGCAGACCGUGUUUGUGAAGCGUGUGGGUGGAAGGUGCGCGGUGUAGACCACUUCGCAUUGAUUGCGAGCGACGUGAAACCAGCGGGUCACUACGAGAGCUUCACAUCCGGUGUACAUUGUGGAGUGUUUAAUGGAAAAACGGUGAUGUGAAGUGCGCUGUGAUGAAGAGUAAAGUGGUGCUUGCGAGUUACCAGCGGUGAAGGAGGUGUAAGGAAUGUGCCACGGAAUACCUGCACAGAGCGACGGAGUGAAGUUUUGGCAAAAGUGGGGCGAUUCAUGUGAGCGAAAUAUCAAUUCCGGGCUACGAAAGGUGCGUGAUGCCUCACCUUUCCGAGUGUGCGAGUGAGUGCAGUGAUUUGUGAGCUUCAGUGCCAUUGUGUCCCGAGUCGCACAGCGGAGUCAAGUUUCCGAGAGCUUCGAAAGGCGUUGGUGAUCUGUGACGGUGUGGUGAUCAGACGCAAGGGUGUGCGGUGAUUGUCAAAGGCUCUUCUGUGAGUCGUGUCAUUUUGACCGUCAACGUGCUGGUGGUGGUGUGUGUGUGUGUGUAUAUGUAUGUGGUGAGUGUUUAGUGAAAACUUUUGCGGAUAUGAGCCCGUGUCCGCUCUGGUGAAGCUGCUUAGUUAUUGCGAAGUGCUUCUGGUGGAGUGCAGUGAUGUGGUGUUGUGUGGUGUUGGGGCGACAGAAUGACCCUCAAGCUUGGCUUUGUGCAAAGUCCAGCAAGUGAGUGAAAGGUGUCGUGUGUGCUCCGCGUGAAGUGUUCUCCGAAAAGGCUGUACUCGUACAAAAGGUAAAUAUUAUCUAGAGGUAAGUAAAUCUAUUAAACAUCAUUUUAAUGGAACUGGAAAAGAAAAAUACUUGUUGUAAAGCGUGGCGCGCCGCCCGCUGCACGCCUUGCAAACGUAAUUUACGUUAAGACAGUGACGUCGCUGACCUAGCACGAUAACGACCAGCGCUUGCCUUCUGAUGCCUGAAUCUGGACACUUCGCGAAGAAGUCGACGGGAAAUCCGACGGCCGUGAUUGGCCAACGCCGCACUUGACCUUGUCGCCGGCCAAUCGUAGCCGCCGGAUUUCUCCCGUACCUUUUCGUGUCCAGAUUUGGGCGUCUGCUGUACCGGACUUGGUACAGCAGACGCGGCAAGUGGCGACACUCGUUCUGUACGGUGCGCGUGUUCACUGAAUCUUGGAGCUUGCUCAUUUCAGGUGUUGAGCUUGAAGAUGGUGAUGAGCAGCAACCACCUGUGUGAAUGUUUUCGGGAUCUCCUGGGGUGAGUGAAGGGUGAGAAAUAAAAAUUAUUGCACUGAAUCUUCGCUGGCCAAGAUAAAAGGUAGGUGUUUUUUUGUUGUUGUUUUUUUAAUGCGUUUUUUCUUGAGAUCUGCCGUGUGUUUCGUGCCCUCUGAUUUCAGCACUUUUAGCACGAGCGUCGAAACUGGUGAGGUGGCAGCGCUCCCCGUUUGAGCCCCGGAUACUACGAGCCUGUUCGUCACGGUUCCCUCUUCGUCCUGUGAAGUCGAAACAGAAGUUAAAAUCGUGAUCGCAUUUGGUUCAACCGAUGCAAGGUCCCCAUACACGCAAGGAGUCCUGCAAGCCCAAUUUCGACCCGGAACUUCGUGUAAGUUAUACGCGUGUGCAAAUGCCCGACUUAACCGUAGUCGCGAAGUAAUGGCCCUAUUGAGUGGCGGCUUUUGUUUACGCCAAGCGUUCCAACUUGGACUUUACGUCGUUAGUGGGACUCACCAAACGUUCGAAUUUGGAAAAUAAAAUACCCGAACGGGGCAACGCCAGGCGACGCGAUAAGGACCAGGGGAAGUGAACGGCAAGAGCGAACUUUGUGGGUCAUGAUGCGCCGAAUUUGCGCUUGUUUCGAUUGCUCGGAGUACGCAUCCGCUCGGAAGAAUUGGCUCUCCUGUGCUUUCGCCGCUCCACACUGGCGGUGAGUAUGAUCAGGUAAGUUCUAUGUAGUGCUAAAAUUAAAAUAAAAAUACGGGCGGUUCAACACGCUCCAAAUAACUUCGUAUUACCUCGUCACUGUUACCCGUGAAAUGUAACGGAAUGACGCGAAGAAAUGAUGCCCAGCCGCGGUGUUACCUGUGUGACCAGCAUAUAGAUUUGAGUCGCCCCCAAAAAAGCGUACACCAUAAGAAAAAGAAAAAAAAACGUGCGUUUUUACGACAUUUGAGAGCCAAUCGCCGCAAUUUGUGGGCUAGCUCGGCAAAUUACGAUGCUGAAAAAUAUUUAGUCCAAAAAACGCAGUCAUUUGUGACGAUAAGCAAUGCAAGCGUUGCGUUUAACUUUUUGAAUGUCAACUGUACUGCGUUUUUUUAUUUUUAUUCAAACCUGUUUUGGCAUUGCCAUUUGCUGAGCUGUCUCCGUAAGUUGCAGUGAUUGGCUCUUCGAGUGUAGUGCGGGAAAGUAAACGCACUGGCUGUUUUUUCGAGUGUAUUCGGGAACCAGAGCUGUAAACUCGCGCCCAAAAAGGCUGGUGACGACGAGAGAUAUGUAGGACGUCCAAUCAAGUUCUGUGCACCACAGCAGUCAUGAUUUUGUAGAACUAAAAAAAAAAAAAA